rnacentral:rRNA from 1 species
AGCGACCGCUGGCGGCAGCCCUAACACAUGCAAGUCGAGCGCACCCUUCUGGUCGAGCGCCGGACGGUUUAUUACAGCGUGGGAUCAUACCUUUGGCUACGGAAUACCCUCUGGAACCGGAGAGUAAUCCGUUAUACUCCCUUCGGAGGAAAGAUUUAUCGGCGAAGGAUUAGCCCGCGCUAGAUUAGGUAGUUGGUGGGGUAAUGGCCUACCAAGCCUACGAUCUAUAGCUGGUUUGAGAGGAUGAUCAGCCACACUGGGACUGAGACACGGCCCAGACUCCUACGGGAGGCAGCAGUAGGGAAUCUUAGACAAGGGGGGCAACCCUGAUCUAGCCAUGCCGCGUGUGUGAUGAAGGCCCUAGGGUCGUAAAGCUCUUUCGCCAGGGAUGAUAAUGACAGCAUCUGGUAAAGGAGCUCCGGCUAACUUCGUGCCAGCAGCCGCGGUAAUACGGAGGGGGUUAGCGUUGUUCGGAAUUACUGGGCGUAAAGCGCUCGUAGGCGGAUUAGUAAGUUAGAGGUGAAAUCCCAGGGCUCAACCCUGGAACUGCCUUUAAUACUGCUAGUCUUGAGUUCGAGAGAGGUAAGCGGAAUUCCGAGUGUAGAGGUGAAAUUCGUA